CCUACGGGUGGCUGCAGUGAGGAAUAUUGGUCAAUGGGCGCGAGCCUGAACCAGCCAAGUCGCGUGAGGGAAGACGGUCCUAUGGAUUGUAAACCUCUUUUGUCGGGGAGCAAAAGACGCCACGCGUGGCGUUCCGAGAGUACCCGAAGAAAAAGCAUCGGCUCACUCCGUGCCAGCAGCCGCGGUACUACGGAGGAUGCGAGCGUUAUCUGGAUUUAGUGGGUUAAAGGGGUGCGCAGGCGGAAGAUCAAGUCAGCGGUAAAAUUGAGAGGCUCAACCUCUUCGAGCCGUUGAAACUGGUUUGCUUGAGUGAGUGAGAAGUAUGCGGAAUGCGUGGUGUAGCGGUGAAAUGCAUAGAUAUCACGCAGAACUCCGAUUGCGAAGGCAGCAUACCGGCGCUCAACUGACGCUCAUGCACGAAAGUGUGGGUAGCGAACAGGAUUAGAUACCCCAGUAGUC
rnacentral:rRNA from 1 species